rnacentral:ribozyme from 1 species
AUCGGGGGGGCGGUCGACGAGCUCGACGUUGACCUCUCGUGGCUCUUAAACCUGGAGGAGGUCCGGGGGAAACCCUUUGUUCUGAGCGAGCACGGGUGGCCGUCAGGGGGCUUUCUGGAGGGAGUCGGGGUGGCCUCGGCUACGAACCAGAAACGAUACCUGGCCGAGUC